CAGACACCAUAAUGGAGUAAAAACUACAACAUUUCCCUUUGAACUGGAGUUGAGUGGGAAAAUGGAAAUAAUGAAACACAAGUACCUCCAAACUGUACUUGAGCAAAUGUUGGAUCCACCUCUGGUUCAGUGUUUUAGUGGUUUUCUGUGUUUCUCUCCAGGUUAAUUUUAGACCUGCAGCCCCCUCAUUCAUUUGAAGGCCAACGCUGCAGCAAAGAUGCCAACACUGCAAACUAAAUACAACAUCGCCCUGCUAACAGGCUGCUUUUAAUUAAAGCUGUAUUACCAACAUGUGAUAUUCUUUAUUUACUGGAAGAGACGCUGCUUCAUUAAGGCUCUGCUCUGUUAUUAUUUCCACACUUCGAGCUCCGGCUGACACUUUCUGCCGGCAGAUAAACAAACCCUGAACACCGGCCUGAUCUCUGCACCAGCCUCAGGCUCUGCUGAAGACCUUUACAAAGUGAAUUUAGUGGUCAAGAAACUACAAAUCCUCAACAAGAUAUAACAGAGGAAGGUUUACAAGAAGAGCAGCUGCACUGACUCCACAGUGAAUCAUCCAUCAGUAGCUGAACCAAACCAAACUAUCUCAUCAAUGGAUUAUUAUACACUGAGAAGAAAAUUUGCAAUUUAUAUGUGUUAUUUAUAGUAUAAAUAUAUGAAAACAUCAGUGAAAUGGUCGACAGAACCGUGAAUAAGCACAACAUUUCUAUUUUCACAUCAUUAUGUGAAGCACGGUGGUGGCAUCAUCAUGGUGUGGGGAUGCUUCUCUGCCACCAUAAAAUGUUUAUAAAAUAACCAUCCCAAGUAAGUAAAGUAAAACAUGUAAUUACUUUAUAUAUGUAUUUACAGAUAUACAUGCUAGCUGAGACCAUCCCCACGUCAUGAUGAUGCCACUGCCAUGCUUAAUGGUGUGUUUGGGAUGAUUAUUUUACACACUGGAACAUUACAGUUUAGUUGUUUUGACACAGUGUAGAUGUAGGAAAAUUAAUUUGUGACAUUUUAGACAAAGAAUAAAAUGCUUCGUGUCCAUUCAUGCAGUACAGUGUUAUGGCCAAAGCAGACGGUUCCUCAGAUGUCAAGUGAAAGAAUAAAAAAUAAAGUGCAGGAAGUAUAAUGUAAUUAAGGGCAGAGACAAAAGUUUCCUCAGAGUCUGUUGCAGAUAUGUGGAGCAUAAAAAGUAAAUGCUGCCUCCAGGGACGCGAAACCGAAGACAACCGGCAAUAAAUAUGCAGCUGCAACCGCCAACAAGAAUCCUCAGCGGGCUGCAAUCUUACUACCAGAGAAAUAAAGCACAGCAGCGAGUGCAACAGGCGUAAAAAAAAACGUGCAUAAAUCACCUCUCAUACAAUCAAUAUCAGAAGAGAGCCUCAACACAGCAGGUGUGCGCCACAGAACACACCUCCACACUGCUCAUUAUACCAGCUGCUUUUAUAUAUUCACCCGUUUUGUGUACAUUUUCAAUUUGCAUAUAAACAAACCUAGAGAAGAAAAGCGAAAUGUAAUAAAGUGCAACAGGAACGGACUCUGAAUAAAUGAUGAAGUUCAUGAAUUAUGUGACUGAGGCUUCCACUCCACUGAAAAAUAGAUGAAAACAUCAGAUGUGUGCAGAGCAAUGAGGAAAUUCAUCCACAUCCAUACAUGAAGCUAACUGAAAUGCCAUGUUUUCUGUUGUCUUUGUCAAUGUGGUGCCGUCUUCUCUUUCUUUGUCUUCGACUGCAGUGGUGAUGAAUCCGCUUUAGUAUUCCUACCUGAGAGUCAUGGUAUAUUGGGUAUAAAUAACGUUCCACUUCAGGCACAUUUCAAGUGUCAUAGCUAUGAAUUUUAAGGUAGGUUAAGGUCAAGGGUUAAAACGCUGCAAAUGGGAAGCAGAAAAAACACAUUAAGCGUGUUCCCUGAUAACAGACUGAUUUUUCACAUGGCAGUAAUGGACAGAAAUGAAUGCUAAUACGUGUUUUGUUUGGCUGAUUUUCUGUAAAUGGUGUUACAAUUUGCCUUAAAUUGGAAACUAUGCAAAAGUUAUUAUAUAAAUAUAGAAUUAUCAGCAGGAACCACUGUGAGCAUUUUAGGUGAUGCGUUAAAUCAUUAUUUAUGACUGCCACCACCGUGCUUCACAUCAUGAUGCUGUCAUCAUCAUGCUUCACAGUGGGGACAAUGUGUUUUUAAUGACAUGCUGUAAAGAUUGUUAAAGAUUGUUAUAUAUAUUGGAAUAUUACUAACUGGAGCAUGUGAGAUUUUUUUUACAGUGUAGAUGUACGAAAUCUAAUUUGUGAUUAGUACUUUAUCAAAAAUACACCAUCAAGUGUGGUGGUGGCAACAUCAUGUAAAGCAUGGUGGUGGCAACAUAAUGAUGUGAAGCAUGGUGGUGGCAACAUCAUGUAAAGCAUGGUGGUGGCAACAUAAUGAUGUGAAGCAUGGUGGUGGCAACAUCAUGUAAAGCAUGGUGGUGGCAGCAUAAUGAUGUGAAGCACGGUGGUGGCAGCAUCAUGAUGUGAAGCAUAGUGGUGGCAGCAUCAUGAUAUAAAGUAUGGUGGUGGCAGUAUCAUGACGUGAUGCACGGUGGUGGCAGCAUAAUGAUGUGAAGCACGGUGGUGGCAGCAUCAUGAUGUGAAGCAUGGUGGUGGCAGCAUCAUGAUGUGAAGCAUGGUGGUGGCAGCAUCAUGAUAUAAAGUAUGGUGGUGACAGUAUCAUGACGUGAAGCACGGUGGUGGCAGCAUAAUGAUGUGAAGCACGGUGGUGGCAGCAUCAUGAUGUGAAGCACAGUGGUGGCAGUAUCAUGAUGUGAAGCAUGGUGGUGGCAGCAUCAUGAUGUGAAGCACAGUGGUGGCAGUAUCAUGAUGUGAAGCACGGUGGUGGCAGCAUAAUGAUGUGAAGCACAGUGGUGGCAGCAUAAUGAUGUGAAGCAUGGUGGUGGCAGCAUCAUGAUGUGAAGCAUGGUGGUGGCAGCAUCAUGAUGUGAAGCACAGUGGUGGCAGUAUCAUGAUGUGAAGCACGGUGGUGGCAGCAUAAUGAUGUGAAGCACAGUGGUGGCAGCAUAAUGAUGUGAAGCAUGGUGGUGGCAGCAUCAUGACUCGAAACAUGGUGGUGGCAGCAUCAUGAUGUGAAGCAUGGUGGUGGCAGCAUCAUGAUGUGAAGCAUGGUGGUGGCAGCAUAAUGAUGUGAAGCAUGGUGGUGGCAGCAUCAUGACUCGAAACAUGGUGGUGGCAGCAUCAUGAUGUGAAGCAUGGUGGUGGCAGCAUAAUGAUGUGAAGCAUGGUGGUGGCAGUAUCAUGAUGUGAAGCAUGGUGGUGGCAGUAUCAUGAUGUGAAGCACAGUGGUGGCAGCAUAAUGAUGUGAAGCAUGGUGGUGGCAGUAUCAUGAUGUGAAGCAUGGUGGUGGCAGCAUCAUGACUCGAAACAUGGUGGUGGCAGCAUCAUGAUGUGAAGCUUGGCUCCUCUUGUUGUGUUUUAUGGAUCCUGACCCAGUUUUAUAGUCGAAUUUUCUCAGCUUGUUGGUUUCUUGUUUGUGUGUUUUACCAGAAAUGUGCUCGUUCCGCAGGAUUCUUCUCCCUCAGAGGCUUUUAUGAGCUGAUUCAUGCAAACGCUGCCUCAAAAUCAAAUUACCAGAAUAAAUCCACAGAUCCUGGUGCUGAAAUCAGCUCUGAGGCAGCUGGAAGCACGACAGCAGAGCAGCCACAGUUAGAAACCUGAUCUCUGCACAUAUUUAAUUAGCAACAACAGCAGGUAAUCUGUGUUUUUAUAACAGGCAGAAGGUCAUUGUUCCCAAAUCAACAAAAGACAUUUGUAGAGCAUUUUAACAAGUGAAACCUUUUUGUCACAACAGAACUCGUCUGCACAGCUUCUUAUAUCAGGACUGCAGGAGUAUUAAUUUACAAUUUAACCCUUCUGUCUUGCUUAUGUCAUUUUGUGUCUUGUUUUUGACAUUUUGUGUCUCAAUUGUGAUGUUUUAUGUCUUCUUUCUGUGGUUUUGUGUCUCGUAUUCAUUCUUGUUUGUGAAAUUUUGUGUCUCGCUUUUUUGUUUUUUGUCUCAAUUGUGAUGUUUUGCAUCUCAUUUAGUCGUUUGGUGUCUUAUUUUUGUCAUUUUGUGUCUUAUUUUUGUCGUUUUGUGUUACAUUGUUGAGAUUCUGUGUCUCGUUUGUGUCAUUUUGUGACUCAGUUGUGAUGUGUUACAUCUCAUUUUUGUCAUUUUGUGUCUCGUUCUUGUGGUUUUGUCUCGUUUUUGUUUUUGUGUCACAUUUUGUUGUUUUCUUGUCUCAUUUGUGGUGUUUUCUUCCUCAAUUGUGAUGUUUUGUGUCUAGUUUGUGUCGUUUUGUAUCCCAGUUGUGAUGUUUUACGUCUUUUUUGUUGUUUUGUGUCUUGUUUUUGUUGUUUUGCGUCUCGUUUUUGUGAUUUUCUGUCUCAUUUUUGCUUUUUGUGUCUCAUUUUUGUUGUUUUGUCUGAUUUUGUUGUUUUCUGUCUUGUAUGUAAAGUAUUGUGUCUCGUUUUUUUCGUGUUUUCAUUCUCAUAUUUGUUAUUUUGAGUCUCAUUUUCUUGUUCUGUGUUUAAAUUUUGGGAUUGUGUGUCUUGUUGUGGUUUUAUGUCUCAUUUCUGGUGUUUUGCGUCUCUGUUUUGUCAUUAUGUGGCUCAUUUGUUUUCCGUUUGUGUCAUCUUGCGUCUUGUUUUUUGGUGUUUUUAUUCUCAUUUUUGACGUUUCUUGUCAUGUUUUCAUUCUUGUUUUUGUCGUUUGGUGUCUCAUUUUAUCAAGUAAAAUGAAAAUUUCUUGAAUUUUGUAUCAACAUUUCUUAUUUUCUCUGCGUUCCCGGCUGCACUGACAACGAAAGGAUCUUUAAAUGGUGCAGAUUCUCCGGCUCAGCGUGUCGAACGGCAGCUGACAGGAUGUUAGGAUAUAAAUCGACAGAAAUGUGGAAUCUCAGCUGCCACUCGGUCAGCAGGUGAAGCUUCACAGCGACACCGAGCCCGUUGAUGCAGAAACAACAUGAAGACACUGACAGAUCUGCAGGAAAACAGGCUACAGAGAGCGAGGCGGGGGGAGACUGAACAUCUGCACACAGCUGGAGGAGUUCCAAGAAAGAGACUAGUGAGGGAGGAAACAAGACACCUAAGACUCCUCUGAAGGAGUUCCAAGCUUCAGCAGCUGAGAUGGAGAGACUGUUCAUACAACAACUAUUGACUGUUCUUCACCAGUCUCAAAAACAUUUAUUAUGUCUUCUUAUUAAUACACUAGUAUUGAGCUCUGUGUCUGAACAAAAGAACUCAAAACCAGUUCACCAGUCAAAGCUUCAUGGGAGACAAAGAGAAAGACUCUGUUGGAAAAAGACUUGUAUUAAGUCUGGACGAGAGUUCAACAGAAGACAUGUGGAGACUCUGAAGUCAGCUGGAAGAAGGUUCUUUGGUCUGAGGAGAACAAAAUGGUGCUUUUGUCAAUCAGACUGGAUGAUUUGCUUGGUGGACACCAGACACUGAACAUCCUCAUAACGACAUCAUUCUCACAGUGAGGCAUGGCGGUGGCAGCAUCAUGAUGUUUCUCAGCAGCAGGUCCUGGAAGGCUUGUAAAGGUAGAGGGUAAAAUGGAUGCAGCAAAGUCUCGAGAAAUCCUAGAGGACUGAGACUUGGAGAAGAUUUGUUUUCCAUCAAGACAAUGAGUCGAAGCAAAAAGCUGAAGCUCCACAGAAAUGGUUUAAAGACAACAAGGAGAGAGUUCUGGAGGGCGAGUCACUAAUCUGUCUGUCAGCGCUACGUUAGCUCGGUUUAUCUUGUGCAUCUUUCUAUCGAGUUUCUCUUGUUUCUCAGUCCUGUCUGCAGAACAGAACCAGAACUUGUCAGAUUUAUGAUCCUCCUGCUGCAGUUUAAUCAGAGUCCAGGUGAAGAGUGUCACCGUAGUAACCUCCUCACUGUUUCAUCAAUGCCUCCGAUCCUGUUAAUUAUUGAUGCUAACGAGUCGGUUAUUGAAAAUGUUAGCUGACUCUGAGUGUUAUUAACCUUGGUGACCUUUCAGAAAUGAGACAAUAACUGCCCAGUCUAAUUCCAUUUGCGUUAUUGUCGCCUCUACGAGCCUCCUUCCAGCUCAGCGUCCUCCAGGUUUCUCAGGUCUUCUCCUUCCUGUCUUCAGCUUCUCACCUGAACCUCACCUCAUUUCAUUCCGCUCACGUCUGCAGUCCAAGUUCUUUGAGUUCUUCGUAUCAAUCCGACACCCCAAAAAUUUAAUCGCUGCGUGAGAUCGUUCAUUAUUCAGGACGCUCUUCAUUAAUUCACACCCACGCCUUGUUUUUCCAGAACUCCUUACAUCCAGAGACAUUUAAAGCUAGUUUACUUUCUACCCAUGUGUGCAUCAGAUUAAUAGAUUCCUACAUUACUGGAAGCAUCAGCACGGCAGAGUUUCAAACGAGAUAAAAGUCUUUAGAAACAUGACCUUGAUUGUGUUGUUCAUUCUCAGAGGCUUGGACAGUCAAUCUGCAGAGCCUCUUUGUCAUUGUUUUUUAUCUCUUUAUGCUUGCUUUUGUCUCAGUGGUUGUUUUUUGUGUCUUUGUGGUUGUUUUUCGUCUAUUUUGGGGUUUUUUGUUUCUCUGUGGGUUUUUUUUUUGUCUUUUUAUGGUUGUUUGUCUAUUUUUGGUUGUUUUUUGUCUGUUUAUGAUUGUUUUUUGUCUGUUUAUGGAUGUUUUUUUGUCUCUUUAUGGCUGUUUUUGUCAUUUUGUGGUUGUUUUUUUGCCUCUCUGUGAAUGUUUGUCAUCUGUUUUUGUUUUUUUUGACUCUUUAUGAUUGUUUUUUGUCUGUUUAUGAUAGUUUUUUGUCUCUUUAUGGUUUUUCUUGUCUCUUUGUGGUUGCUUUUUGUAUCUUUAUGGUUACUUUGUUUAUAGUUGUUUUUGUUGUCUUUGUAUAGUUGUUAUGUGUCUCUUUGUGGUUGUUUUUCAUCUAUUUUUGAUAGCUUCUUGCCUCUUAGUGGUUGCUUUUUGCCUUUUUGUAGUUGUUUUUGCCUCUUUGUGGCUGUUUGUUAUCUGUAUUUGGUUGUUUUUUGUAUCUUUAUGGUUGUUUUUGUGUUUUUGUGGUUGUUUUUUGUCUCUAUGACUAUUUUUCAUCUAUUUUUGGUUGUUUUUUUGUCUCUUUGUGGUUGCUUUUUGCCUCUUUGUGAUUGUUUUUCAUCUAUUUUUGGUUGUUUUUUGUGUCUGUGGUUGUUUAUUUGCCUCUUUACGGUUAUAUCUUUGCCUUUUUGUGAUUGUUUUUGCUUCUGUGUGGUUAUUUUUUGUCUCUUUAUGGUUGUUGUUUUGUGUCUUUGAAGUUGUUUUUCAUCUAUUUUGGCAAUUUUAUUGUCUGUAGUAGUUUUUCGCCUCUUUACAGUUGUUUUUUUUAUUUCUUUAUGGCUGUUUUUUUAUCUCUUUUUGGUGGUUCUUUGUCUUUUUGUGGUUGUUUUUGUUUCUUUGUGGUUGUUUUUUGUCUCUUUAUGGCUGUUUUUUAUAUAUUUUUGGUUGUUUUGUCUCUUUAUAGCGUUUUUUUGUCUAUUUUUGGUUGUUUUUGUCUUGUUAUGGCCAUUUUCAUCUAUUUUUGGUUGUUUUGAAUUUGACUCUGUGGUCAUCUGAUUGUAAUGUUGACAGUCACACACUGGCCCUUGGCUCUCUGGGCUCCUGAUAUGCUAAAUAGAAUCAGUAAGGAUGUUUAAUCUCUGCUGCUGAUGAUCAGACGAACUUUAAUUAUCCUCCUGGUGGUUUUCCCAGGUGUGUAGCUGUGUGUCAGUGUUGUGUACAGGAAGUGAAGCGGAGGUGGUCCAGAGAUAGAACCCUGGUCCACUUUGAAGGGUUCUGGUUCCCUGUGAGCCUCAUUAUUUCUGCUUCAGGCUCUUUGUUCCUCUGAGACACUGCAGCAGCUUCUAACGAUCCGAUUGCGUUUUAUUUGAAUUUAUUCACAGCUUCCUGUUAGAACGCAACGAAUCAGAGCAGCUGAAUGAAAAAUGAUUUUAAUGAUCAACCUGCUGAUUGCAGCAAAAUCAAUCACUGCCAGUUAAGUGUUGAACACAGCAGCAGGAUAUAGAGGCUUAAUAUGGAUUUAACGAAGAGGAGGAGCCUUUAAUGUGUUCAGCUUCUGAGAUAUGUUGUAAAAUAUGUGCGUUUUCAACUGUUUGCAGAAGCAGUUUUUAUAAUCUAUUAUUUUCACAGUUACAUCAACUUAAAUUAAUGCAGAAAAUGCCAAAAACACAGAUAAUAACUCAUCAAAACAUAAAAAAAUGGGAGAAAUAAUGAACCAAAAGAUCAAAAAUCUUGACAUUGACAAACUACUGUAGAAAUAACAUGUAUAUUAAAGUAUCAAGUAUUGAAAAUCUGGAUAUUGAGACAUCAAAAUAUAAAAAAUGGAAACUGACACACCAAAACAUCAGACACCCGGAUAUGAAUGCAACAAAAUUUGAAGAGCCAUGACUUUUUUAAAACAUAGCAUAAAUAAUUUGUAUAUUGGUAUCCCAAAGAGUCAAAAAUCUUGGAUAUUAUUGUACAAAAAGAUUAAAAUAUAGAUAUUAACAAACCAAAACGAUAAAAACCUCGAUACUCAUGCACCAAAACACCAAAAAUUAUUAUUAUUAAUGCAACAAACACCAAAAACCUAGAUAAUAAUGCACCAAAACACCAUAAACCUGGACAUUAAUACAGCAAAACUUUAAAAAUCUGUAUAUCAAUGCACUAAAAUACUAAAAACUUAUAUAUUAAUACACCAAAACAUUAAAAACCUGGACAUUAAUACAGCAAAACACCAAAAACCUGGAUAUUAAUUUUCCAAACGCCUAAUCCUUACAUAUUAAUGUAACAGACGUCUAAAUCCUGAACACCACAGUUCCUCCUGUUGGGAUUUUCUAUUAAAACAGCAGCAGGGUCUUUGUGCAGCAGGAAGGAUUCACACAUUUUAUUCACACGAGGGUUAAAAUGUAAAACCCACAUUAGUAUCACAUUAGCUGUGGCUUCGUGAAAACAGGAUUAAAGGCUGUGAGAGGACGAGGAAAAUAUUAGAAAAAGACAAAGUGAGGCAGCAGCUCGGAGCAGCGACUAACUGAAUCACUGGAGGUGAGAAAUCAGAAAUCAGAGUCGCUGAGACAUGAAGGAGGCACAUUUAUAAUGAGGAGAGUAAAUCUAAUAGCUCACCAUUAGAAACAUCCAUCUGCAAAUCAAUGAGCGCGAUCAAUCAGAGAAGAAAACUGAACGUGUAUCUGAGCUCUAAAUGUCAACAUCAGGGAGAAACAGCAGCUGCUAAAUGGUUCACCUGAAAGAAACCUUCUGAUGCUACAAUAGAUGAUUAAGGACUUUAGUUUUUACAGUUAAAAUGGAGAACAUGGAAAAUAAAACUGGCGAAACAUGUGAAUCAAAAAGACAUGCAAAGCUAAGACAAAAAAAAUGCUAAAAUCAAGACAAGAUGAGACAAGACAAGCUAAGGUAACGCAAAACAAAAUAAGACAUGCUAAUCUAAGCCAAAAUAAAACAAGAUUAGACAUGCUAACCUAAGCUAAAACAAAACAAGAUUAGACAUGCUAACCUAAGCUAAACAAAGCAAGAUAAUACAUGCUAACCCAGACUAAACAAAACAAGACAAAACAAGCUAAUCUAGGCUAAAAGAAGACAAGAUAAUAUAUGCUACCUAAGCUAAAACAAAACAAGAAUAGGCAUGCUAAUCUAAGCUAAAGCAAAACAAGACAAGUCAUGCUAACUUAAGCUACAGCAAAAAAUAAAAUAAGACAUGCUAACUUAAGCUAAAGCAAAACACAGUAAGAUAUGCUAAGCUAUACAAGAUAAAGCAUGCUAAGCUACACAAGCUGAAGCAAGAUAAGACAUGCUACAUCAAGACAAGUCAGGGAAAAGUGAGAUAAGACAAGAGAUGCUAAGCUAAGCUAGGACAGGCCAAGUAAAGAUGAGAGAAGGCAUAUUAAGCUAAUAAUCUUAAGUUAGUUAAAACAAAACAAGAUAAGACAUGCUAACCUAAGCUAAAAUAAACCAAGACAAGACAUGCUCACCUAAGCUGCACAAGAUAAUGUAGACAUGCUAAGCUAAGACAAGACAUAUUAAGCUAAGACAAAGCAAGAUAUGCUGAGGUAGGGUAAGACCAACAAAAACAAGACAAGAAAAGUUACACUAAAAUAAGACAAGCUAGGACAAGACCAAAUAAGACAAGCUAAGCAAAGCUAGACAAUAUAAGACAUGCUAAGCUAAGGUAGGCAAAACAAGACAAGCUAGAUGAAACAAGAUAAGACAUGCUAAAUAAAACUACAAGGCAACACUAAACAAGCUAAGACGCAAUGAAACCUUUAAGCUUUGUGUUGUGUUUUUGUGGGCUAAUAUCCAGAUUUUUGGUGCUAUCUUGUGUUAAUUUUUGUUUUUAACAUAAACAUACUAGUGGAGGAAAUCUGGUGUGGAGGUUUUAGACGUCUGGUCCAAGAGGGGCCUCGACUUCUUCCUUUAAAGUCACAUUAGAGCUGAUAAUGAGCAUCUCAGGGGAAAACUGAGCAAAUAUUAGCCAGUGAAUCCUUCACAUGUUCUGAUGGUUGUCAUUAGCAGCAGUAAUGGAUUCAGGACUGAUUUGUAAUUUCAUCCCUCUGAUCCAAACCACUCAUGAAGCAUUUAAUUUGUCCCUUUCAAACUGUUAUUCUGGUUUUAUGUAAGAUUUUGUGAAAGUUGCCGAAUUACUAUGUUGUCUUCCAAGUAUCACCCUUUUAACUGUCCAGAUAUAAUUAGACAUUGAUGAUUUAAUUUGAUAUUCUGAUGCACUGAUAUCUUUUUUUUCAUGUUUUGGCCCAUUAUUAUCCAGGUUUUUGACAAUUUAGUGCAUGAAUAUCCAAGUUUUUGAUGUUUAGUGCGGUAAUAUCCAGGUUUUUGAUGUUUUGGUAUAUUGAUAUCCAGUCUUUUGCCAUUUCACUGCUUUAAUAUUCAGGUUUUUGCCAUUUUUGGUGCUUUAAUAUUCAGGUUUAGGAUGUCUAACUGCUAUAAUAUCCAGGGUUUUUUUUUUACAUUUUUGUGCUUUAAUAUUCAAAUUUUGGACAUUUUUGUGCUUUAUUAUCAAAGUUUUUCAUGUUUUGGUAAUAUCCAGGUUCUUGACAUUUUGAUGCUUUCAUAUCCAGGUUUUGGAUAUUGGUGCUGUAAUAUUACGAUUUUUUUUUACGUUUUCAUGCUUUAGUAUCCAAAUAUUUGAAGUUUUUGUGCAUUAAUGUCCAGGUUGUGGAUAUUUUAGUGCUUUAGUUUCCAGGUUUUGGAUGUUGUGGACAAUCAAUAUUUAUGUUUUUGACAUUCUGGUGUCGAGACAUGCAGGUGUUUUGUUUUACAGUGCUAAUAUCCAUUUUUUCUUAAUGUUCUUGUAUGUCAAUAUUCUGAUUUUUGACAUUUUGGUGCUUUAAUAUCCAGAGUAUUGCCAUUUUGUUCCACAAAAAACAUUUGUUUUUGGAAUUUUGGUGCAUCAAUAUUCACAGUUUUGAUGUUUUGGUGUGUUAAUAUCGAGAUAUACAAUGUUUUCAUGCAUCGGUAUUGAGGGUUUUGACAUUUUGGUGUCAGCAUUCAGAGUUUUGGUGUUUUGGUGAGUCAACGUGCAGGUUCCAUGAUCCGGUCAUCAAAUUUUAAAGGGUUUAUAAUAACACAGUUCAGUGUAUUAAACUCGUGUAGUGUUGGAAAGGUAAAAAAUAUUUUUUAAAAGAAAUAAACAAAACACUUCAAAGGAAAAUCAUAAUGCAAUUCCCCAGUUAAAGUGUUUUUUAAUUGGACGGCUGAGUUGUUGAACUUCAUCGAUGUUGCAGCUGAGAGUCUUUAGAUCAGGUUCAGUAACGUUAGCGUCGCUGGAUCGUUGUCUUCAGAUUUUAUUCAACUUUUAGUGGAAUUCUGCAGCUUGCUUCAUUCUCUGAAGGUCGUUCAGUUUGCCCUCUCAGCUCUGAGCUGCUGCUGACUGGAUUUAGGUGUUCUUUUUUUUUUUUAGGUGGAAGUUUUAAAAAUAGCCUAAAGCUGAAAGUGUUCAGUUGAGGUGUCAGAAACAUACAUCCGGAAAAGCUAUUUUCGUCCAGUAAUAUCCAAGUUUGUGACGUAUGUAUGUAAUGUAUUUACAGUGCGGUGCAGUAAAAAUCCAGUUUUUGUAAUUUCAGUGCAUAGAUAUAAAGGUUUUAGAUAUCUCCGUGCAUCAAUAUCUAUAUUUUACAAAACAUUUUAGAGUGUUAAUAACCAGGAAUCUGACAUUUUGGUGGAUCAGUAUCCAUAUCUUAACAUUUUGGUGCAUCAAGUCUUAGCCUUUGACAUUUUGGCGCAUCUAUAUCCAUAUUUUUGAUGCUUCAGUGCCUCAGUAUUGAAGUUUUUCCCAUUUUGGUGCAUUAAAACCUAGCAUUUUUACAUUUAUGCGUGUUUGUAUAGAGAGUUCAGAUACUCUGAUACAUUUUGAUGAGUUAAAAUCCAGAUUUUUUUUAACAUUACAUCCACAUUUUUAGUAUUUUGGUGCGUCAGUAUUCAGCUUUUUGUCCCUCUAAGUUUACAUUUCUUCAUAUUCCUGUUGUCUGUUCUCUAUGUCUGAGCUGUAUCUGCCUCCAUCCGUCAGGCUUCCACUCAUGUUCCCGUAGUCUCUGUCGAGAGCAAUAUCUGCAGGCCGAUCUUCCUCACACACUGUUUAUGUUGACUUUAAUAAACCCUCAGAUCUGAUAUGUUGGCAGUAGCAUGAGGUGUGAUGUGAACAGUUUGUCUGAACAGACUCCUGAUCUCCUCAUCGCAGAGCUUCAUUGAUUUUGUAUUUAAAGCUUCCUGCUGCGGCCUUUGAGCAGCUUCUACAUGCUGCAACAAACCUCGAAGACGACUGAAAGAACACAAAGUCAGUGUCCGGACUUUAAAUGAAGCUUCAUAUGUGAUGAUUUUAAAUUUUCUUACUCAAGGGAAAGCCACAUAAACAAGACAAAUGUAGAAGCUCAAAGGUUAGAGGUGUAGUCAGAUCCAGAUUUUUGAUGUUUUGUUGCUUUAAUAUUUUGGUUUUGGGUGUUUUGAUGCAUUAAUAUCUAUUUUUUGUGGUUUGUUGCAUUAAUAUCCAGGUUUUGGGUGUUUUGGUGCAUCAAUAUCCAUAUUGUGAUUUUUUUGGUACAUCAAUAUCAAGGUUUUUCAGUGUUUUGUUGUAUUAAUAUGUAUUUUCUGUGUGUUUUGGUGCAUCAAUAUCCAGUUUUUUGAUAUUUUGGUGCAUUGAUAUUCUGGUUUUUAGGGUUUUGUUACAUUAAUAUCCAGGUUUUUUAGGUUUUGGUGCAUGAAUAUUCUAGUUUUUGGGUGUUUUGGUGCAUUAAAAUCCAUAUUUUGAUGUUGUGGUGCAUCAAUAUCCAGGUUUUUUAGUGUUUUGGUGUAUUAAUAUGCAGGUUUUUGGUGUUUUGAUACAUUGAUAUCCAAGUUUCUGAUGUUUUGGUGCAUUAAUAUAAAGGUUUUUGGUGUUUUGAUGCAUUAAUAUCCAUUUUUUGUGUUUUGCUGCAUUGAUGUCCAAGUUGUUGAUGUUUUCGUUAGUUACUAUCCUGUUUUUUUGUGUUUUGGUGCAUUAUUAUCAAAAUUUUUGAUGUUUUGGUGUAUUAAUAUUCUGGUUUUUGGUGUUUUUGAUGCAUUAAUAUCCCAGUUUUUUGUGUUUUAGUGCAUUUAUAUCCCAGUUUUUGUGUUUUGGUGCAUUUAUGUCGAAGUUUUUGAUAUUUUGGUGCAUUGAUAUUCUGGUUUUUAGUAUUUUGGUGCAUUAAUAUCCAAGUUUAGGAUGUUUUGGUUCAUUAAAAUACAGAUUUUGAUACUUUGGUGCAUCAGCAGCCAGAACUUUGGUGAUUUAGUGUGUUAAAAUCCAUGUUUUUGACAUUUUAACGCUUUGGUAUUCAUGUUUUUGAUGUUUUAGUGUAUCACUGCUGGGUUUUUUGGUGUUUUGGUACAUAAAUAUUCUGGAUCACAGAGGUUCGUUCUCAGAUCAUUCCUUCAUUGUACUGUACGUGUGGCAUUUAUGUGAUUUUUAGUGUCAUCAUUUACGGAAAUUCUCAGCAGGUUUUGCGGAGUUGCGGUUUGAUAAAAAAGAACACAGGAGAUCUGCAGGUGACUGCAGUUUUAUUGGAUGUCAGCAUUUGAUAAAUGACAAGAGGAAGCAUGCUGGGAUGUGCAGUCUGUCACGGGAAAUGUGAGAGCAGGAUGGGGGUAAAUAUGAUCUUGUUGCAGCAACAAAGAGAAAUAACGUUCAGUUAUCAGUGGAUAAUACACAUAAAUACUCAUGUACAUGUUUAUGGACGCAUAAUAUUCCAGUUUUAAGUGAAUAAAUGUGUUCAUGAGGUGAAAACAUUCUUCCCUUCAUGAGCACAUUUUUUAAACUUUACAGCGGAAACAAGUGACUCUCAGACUAACACUCUCCAGCACAUCAUCUCAGUCUCGUAACAAAUCAUCUCUUCCUCUUUUGACAAUCCUCCGGAGCAGUUGCUAGGCAACCAGGGGGUUUCUAAAAGCAGAGGUAUCUCCUCUCUGAGCUGCUCAAUGGUGAAGCUUCUUAUGUAACGUCUCUAUUAAUAUUCCUGAUCCCUGUUUUAACACCGGAGCCAAAUCUUGCAGCUGGAGGGACCCUGAACGCCUCCUUCCUGUUUAACCGCCCCUGAACGCACCACGUGACCCGAUCAAUAACUGGUUCAUCUGUUUGAUCAGCGGGAUGAAGAUCAGAGUGACGCUGAUCCUCCGAACAGCUCUGACACAACCGAUGAGAUGCUAUGUCUUUAUCAAAAGGAUUCCUGUAGAAGAAAUCCAUGAGAUGUGGCCGAAAGCUGCGGAGCAAACGAAAAAAAAAAACCCAAAACAAAUAAAGAUGCAAAAAUUACACAAGAACAAAAAAACGGACAAAGAUGCAAAAAUAAAAGACAAAAUCAAAGUGAAAAUGCACAAAAAGCUGCAAAAACAGAAAUGAAAAAUGAAACAGAGACAAAAAUAACAGGCAAAAUGGACAGAAAAGGAUUUUAAAAAGACACCAAUUGACUAUAAGAUGCAAAAAUGACACAAAAAGAAGAAAAAAAGACAGACAGAUACAAAAAUAAAAACUAAAUUGAUGUGAAAACAGGCAAAAAUGACAAAAACAGGAUGGUAAAAAUCAGGAAUUAGUCUUGGUAACUGAAACUUAGAGUGCAGUUAGUUAGACAAUAAGAACCAUAGAAAGACAUAAAAGUACCUUCAGUCAUGUUGCUCAUAUUACAGGUGAUCUGUGAACAGGAUGAAGCAUCACAGGGGAAUAAAUAAAGGUGGAAUUUACACUCUAAGUGAAGAUAGCAUGUCCUAGAAAAACAGUGGCAUUUUAUUUACAUCAUAAAAUAAAAUAAUCUAAAAUAUUGUACUUGGAUGUUAAAGACAUCAACUGACUAAAAGAUUCCAAAAUGACACAUAAGAUAUAAAAAAUCAUGUAGAAUAGACAAAUUUAGAUGAAAUAUCACAGUUUAAAACUCAAGAUUUGGUUAAUGGAAGAGGUGAUGCGUUCAAGGACCGUCAGAAAGUUGAAAAUCUUUCUGUUUUAUCAUUUCUGGCUCGUAAAUGAUGAUAUUUUUUGUUUGUCUUUUAAAGACAACAAGACUUUCAAACCCAGCAGGUUUAGAAAUGUAAAUAAACUGAGCUGAACAUCAACCUUUUCAUUUAGAUUCAGCUGCUGUUAAACCAAACUGUACAUCCAAAUAAAAACUGAAAAUUAAAACACAAAAACGCAGAUUCAUUUUUAUCUCCUCCAACACGGAGUUCCAUAAGAAGCCCUGUAGUUCUUUCAGCUAAAGUUCAGAGUCUCUGUUAAUCUGCAGCUCAAACUGACUUAGAGAAAACUUCAGUGUCGCUGCCACCUGCUGGAGACCCACAGAACAGACACGAGUAAGAGGAGACAAAACUCGGCUCUAGUAUGAGUUUAUCAUCAUCUAUUUAGAGAAUUAAAAACUAAUAAUACAAAAUAUACAGAGUAAUGUGGAUCACAUAGCAUGACAAAUAAAAACAAAGCUUCCAUAUCACAGUGUCAAUCUGGAACAGAAGUUUAAAUUUGUUCAAGUUUUUAACAGUUUAUGGAAAAAAAACUAGCCGAUUGGCACAAAUUAACCCUCAUUUAGUCUAUUUUACUUCAAAGUCACUCUACUAGUCUCUUAAAUGUGAAUAUUUGCUGUAGAUGAAUAGGAUGUGGUCAUUUCGUCUUAUUCUGGUUAGAAAUCUGCUGAUUCUGGAGGCAUUUUUCUGUUUUUUUAGCUCCUAAGCCUGCUGUGUUACACCAUCAACGAUCAUUUUGUUCCUUAACAACAACGGUAGAUGUUUUGGAGUUCCUCCACUACAACAAAUAUGCAGCUUUUAUUCUUGAUUUUUAUUUAUCAGGAAAUCUGUAGUUUUUGAUGGUCAGUUGCUAAAGCUGGAUUACUGGACCCAGUGAGAUUUCAUUUAUGGCUUUAUUUGAUUACAUCUGACUCUUAAAUGUAAAUUAAUGUUUUUUAUGUAUACAGGAAUAAACACAGAAGAGCUUGGUUAAAGUCGUAUCAAUACAUCUGACUUUUAAUAAUCGAUUGUUUGCUGAUUAAUGAGUCCCUGAAGCCUUUAAAAAUACAAAAAAAAUGCUACUGGAAAAGCUGGUUUUGAGGUAAAAUAGACUAAAUGAGGAUCAGUUAAUUAAUUAAUGAGCCAGCAGGAUAAAAAUCAAACUAUAGUGUCAACAGGGGUUACAGAGGGAAUCUGUGAUCAACAUUUUCAUGAUUUGUUGGAUUUAUCAGCUAAAAGUAGAGUUUACUACACAAUAUUCUUGUAAUUCAGUGUUUUUCUGACAGAGCAGAAGUAAAAACAACCAGACUGGAGUCAUUUAAAAGCAUUUUAUUAGUAAGAAUCCAUGUUAAACCACAGGAGCUGCUUCCAGCUCAGUCUCAGUGCACCGUCCUGGUCGGACAGGUGAUCUCCAUACAGGUGAGGCUUCUCAUCACCGAGGCGACGCUGCAGCAGCUGGAUGUUCGGGCCUCGUCGGGUUCAAACUCGCCGUCGGAGCUCAAAGUCACUCCUCGAUCUGUCGCCAAAGGAGGCCGAGGUCGAAGUCCGGA